GCUUGGGAGGAACUUAUUUACAGAUGUGAGGAAACUGGAAUUGAUGCCUUUGAAAUCAACUUCUCGUGUCCCCAUGGUAUGCCAGAACGUAGAAUGGGUGCUGCUGUUGGUCAAGAUUGUGAUCUCUUGGAGGAGGUUUGUGGAUGGAUCAAUGCUGUAGCCACAGUUCCAGUUUGGGCAAAGAUGACCCCUAAUAUCACCGACAUUACCAAGCCGGCUAGGGUGGCUCUUAACCAAGGGUGCGAGGGGGUAUCUGCUAUAAAUACAAUCAUGAGUGUAAUGGGAAUCAAUCUCGACACCUUGAGGCCCGAGCCUUGUGUUGAGGGCUACUCUACUCCUGGAGGCUACUCAUCAAAGGCAGUGCAUCCAAUUGCCCUUGCAAAAGUAAUGAACAUUGCACGGAUGAUGAAGUCAGAAUUCGGAGAUAAGGACUAUUCACUCUCUGCUAUUGGGGGAGUUGAGACAGGUGGUGAUGCUGCUGAAUUUCUUCUUCUUGGAGCAAACACAGUUCAGGUAUGCACUGGCGUGAUGAUGCAUGGUUAUGGACUUGUGAAGAACCUAUGCGACGAACUGAAAGAUUUCAUGAAGAAGCAUAACUUUUCUUGUAUAGAAGAAUUCAGAGGGACUUCUCUUCAGUACUUCACCACCCAUACCGACCUAGUACAACGCCAACAAGAGGCGAUCAAACGGAGGAAAGCUAUCAAGAUGGGCUUGCAGUCGGAUAAAGAUUGGACUGGGGAUGGCUUUGUGAAGGAAACCGAAAGCAUGGUCUCCAACUGAUGUAUGAUUGUAAGUAAGUCCGCCUUUCUACUUUUUCUGAUUGUUACUUGGAGAUAAAUAAAAGAUGGAAUAAUGAAGUGUUUCUCCUCAUUUACUGCAACAAUUAAACGAAUUUUACAUUGACAAUUCUGUUGUACGGCAUAGUUCACUGUUGGC
rnacentral:misc_RNA from 1 species